UAUCAACAUGCUAUUUUAAUAUGUUACAUUUACGGUUACCUUAAAACCCAAAACAAUCAAAAUGUUACAUUUUACUUCCAUCUGCUUCGAUAAACGCAGUGGCACCAGAAGAUUAUUUCUCAUUCCUUGUGUAUAAAGGAUAAGUAAGCCUAUUAUUUUAGAGUCCCCUUAAUUACGCUAAACACCCCAAGGAUUACAUAGCUUUCUCCCUGCUUUCAGAUAUAUUUUUUCUUUCUUAUAGCCAUUUUGACUGCAGCUCUUUUAGUUAGAGAUCACGGUUUGCCUUUAAAAAUAAUUACAAAAAAUGGUGUUAGUACCACACUUUUGGCCAGCGCACUGUUGGUCUUUCUACUCCAUCACACUGUUUGUUGGUUGACUUGAUUUUAAAUGCACAACGUACUUAAUGGAUAGUUUAUGACUUGCGUGCAAUGAGGGGCCUUGACGUGGCACAUGUUAAAUAAUUUUGGCAAAGUGUUGUACUAACACCUAAUUUUUUCGUAAUUAAUUAUUUUUAAAGGCAAACAGUGCACUGGCAAUUUUUCUCUUUGUGUACACAUAUUGGCUUUUUCUCUAGUGUCUGCUUGGGGGACACAGGGAACCAAAACAGGCUCCUUAGAAGUCAGCCGGCACUGACGCACCAGCCCUGUUUUUUUGAAAGAGAUAGACCGAAGACCCAGUUGGAACACUCAAUGCAGCUCAUUCCCUGGGCAAGCAGGGGAUAACAGCCAGGACCCUUCUCUCUGGGGGAAUGCGGCCCUGGUGAUUUUUCGCACCAAGAUUCACAAGUGUCAACAAGCACACUUCUAUAGCGCAUCACUGGUGAUGCGUAUAGACGAGCAUCGGGUGACGCGCACUGGUGCGAACAGCCCAAACCGGAACUGCGUUCCCCUGCAAUACGCUCUUCCGGAACAUGCUUUUUGCACAUGGCGCCUGAAUCCAGAGCAGUGAAUCACGUCAAGAGGGAACUGUACUCCUAGCCUGUCCUUCGCUGUGUUCUACCCUCAGCACUACACGGGAGUGGCUCCUAAGCCUCUCAUCCUUUUCCUUAUCACAUUGUGUCUGAGGAGAGCAGACCUCUGUCAAAUUCCUGGCUUGUGCCAAGUGCCACAAAAGAUUGCCAUCAGUGCACAAAGAGCCACUAAGCUCUAUAUGCAAACCACCUGAGCCUGAUGGGAACUCCCAGGCCCUACUCCGCUUCAGAUAGAACAAACCACUCUGGGGCCCUUCUGCUACCGCACCAGAGGGUCCCUCAAUAGCCUAACCAGUUAUCCCAGACUGGGCUGCCCAAUUGGCUACAGGCAUACCAAAACUAGACUAACUAGACAAAAUUCUUUCCAAAUUAGACAACCCCAGACAUAGGGUAUCUAAACGCAGGGCACCCUCCGUAUCAGAUGAGGAAAGUGCUGAAUACUCCAGGGACCCCUCACCGGCGCCUCCAGAUGAAGAGGAAAUACUGUGUCUAGCAGAAGGUGAGAUAUGUCACAACUCAGACCCUCAGGAAGAGGAACCAUUAAAAUUUUCUUCGUAAGCAGUGGAUGACCUACUCUCUCAACAUAUAGGAACCAGAAUCCAGCACAGACACAUCCAAGGUCCUGUUCAAGAAAAACAGUAGGUCUUCACCUACUCACUCGCAGCUUGAGCAAAUAAUUUAACAGGAAUGGACAAACCAGAAAGCCGUUUUCAAAAAAAACUGUAGCUUCCUCAACUAUACCCAUUUUCUGCAGAUACCACAGAAAAAUGGUCUUCAAAGUCUUGGGUGGACGUUUCAUGGCUAAGAACACUGCACUGCCAGUCCCAGAUGGAAGUACCAGAUGCACAAGAAAUUGGAUGGGUUACUCCAAUCUCUAUUCUCCGCAUCAGGCACUGCCCUUUGCUUGCCAGAGCGUGGGUUAGCAUAGCUGUCCAAACAUGGUCGGAUUCCCUGGCUCAAGCAGUUCUUUCCACAACAGGGACUUUCUCUAGUGGCAUCCCAAAUUAGAUGCAAAUUAAUGUGUAUGCGAGGUGGCCUUAGACGCAACGCAAGUGGUUAGCAGAGCGUCGGCACUAUCAAUAGCCACCCGUAGGUCCCUUUGUAUGAAACUUAUCAUCCAAAAAAUCACUAACAUCAUUUUUGUUCAAGGGCAAAUUCCUUUGUGGUACAGAUCUUGAUAAGCUUAUUAGUCAAGCGACAAGAGAAAAGAGCACACUACUUCCCCAACCAAAAGCUCGCUCUUCCUUUCAUAGAGGAAGAUUUUUGCCCUUCCCAAAGCACUAGGCACUCCCAGCCACGGCAUACAGCCUCUAAAUGCCUUCAAAAUCGUACUGAAUACUCUUCGCCAGGCGGAGGUCGUUGCCUCGGUUCCCUCAAAAGGACAGUUCAUAGAAGACAACUCAAAUCUGUUUGUAGUUCCCAAAAAAGACGGACCAGUGCAUCCGGUACUAGACCUAAAGGGACUCAACAGGUUCAUAUGCACAAGAAAGUUCAAAAAGGAAUCUCUACGCUCCAUCAUUGCAGCAAUGACCCCAGGCCAAUUCCUAGCCUCUCUAGACAUAAGACACCUCCACAUCAAAAAGUCUAUGGUGUUUCUAGGACUUCUAUUCGACACAGAGUGUCUUUGACCCAAGAAAAGAUUGUACAUCUAAAGGAUCUAGUACUCUCCUUACUGGCAAAAACAAGCAACCAGGUUCUGCAUGAAGGUACUGGGGAUAAUGGUAUCAAUGAAAGAAGCGAUGUGAGUAUCCCUGACCUGGUAGUUACGAACACCACUACUCUCCAGAGGCAAACACAUUGGAGACUGAUGACAAUGGAUGCGAGUCAGGUUGGGGAGCUGUUUUGAGGGCAGAUCAGCACAAGGACUGUGGACUCAGGUGGAGAGUCGCUUAUCCAUAUAUCUACUGGAGAUAAGGGCAAUUCAACUGGGACUACUGCAUUGGCAAGCAGAACUAUCGGGCCAACCAGUAAAGAUACAGUCUGACAACUAGACAACGGUGGCUUGCAUAAAUCACCAGGGAGGCACAAAAAGGCAAAAGGUCAAGCAUAUUUCAUUGGGCAGAACAAAACCGGUCAUAUUCAUCUCAGGAAUACAGAACUGGGAAGCAGACUUUCUCAGCAGACGAAUGGGCUCUAAAAGGUGAGCUAUAUCAAGAGUUAACCGCAAGAUGGGGCUGGCCAGAGGUAGACCUAAUGGUGUCCCGCCAUAACCGACAGGUACCAACAUGCCGGCCUUCUCUGGUGCUAGCAGCCGAUGCCCCAAGGCUCUGUGGGGUUUUUCAGCUAGCAUACGCAUUCCUUCCCAAUUCCUAUGAUACUCAGAACAAUCAAAAAGGUACAGAGAAAAGACCACUCUCGUCCUCAUAGUACCCAAAUGGCCACGACACUCCUGCUUCUCGGACCUCAUCAAGAUGUCAAUAGAGGACCGGUGGACCUACUCCAUCAGGGUCCAAUUCUGCACCCCACAGCCUCAACUUGACUGAGUGGCUCUUGAGACCAACAUCCUAAAGCGAAAGGCAUUCUCGGACGUUGUAAUCUGCACCAUGCACGGCACAAAAGCCUACAUCGGCCAUAGCGUACUACCCUUGUGUGGACUAGCUAUAGACAAUGGUGCCUCAAACACUAAGUAGACUUUGAAAAAUUUUCCGUGCCUAAUCUUUUGGAUUUUCUCCAGGAAGGAGUGUCUUUAGGACUAUCCCUCGGUUCCCUCAGAUCCCAGAUUUCGGCUCUCUCCAUUUUAUUCCAGAGAAGGCUAGCCCUUUUAUUGGAUGUCAAAACUUUUCUUCAGGGAAUAGCACAUGUGGCUCCGCAUUCCGCAAACCUGUAGCAACAUGGGACCUCACAUUAGUUCUAAAGGUACUUCAGAGAGCUCUGUUUGAACCACUGACAUAGAUACCUCUGCAUUGGGUAACAUGGAAGACUGUUUUUCUAAUUGCCUUAGCAAGACGGCUGUCCGAGAUCAGUGCUCUAUCCUACCAAUCGCCAUUCCUCACUUUUCACCCUGACAGCAGUGCUUUGCACGAUACCUACCUUUCUAACAAAAGUGGUUUCGGCAUUCCACAUAAACCAGGAAAUGACCAUCCCUACAUUCUGUCUGUUGCUGA